GCUGCUCAAAUCUUCACACACCUCUCCGUGGUGAGCAGCAGGCAACGAUCUUAUGGUCGGCGAAGAUGUGAGA
rnacentral:ribozyme from 1 species